UACGUAGGGUGCAAGCGUUAUCCGGAAUUAUUGGGCGUAAAGGGCUCGUAGGCGGCGUGUCGCGUCGGGGAGUGAAAGCCCGUUGCUUAACGGCGGGUUGGCUUUCGGUACGGGCAUGCUGGAGUGCGGCAGGGGAGACUGGAAUUCCUGGUGUAGCGGUGGAAUGCGCAGAUAUCAGGAGGAACACCAGUGGCGAAGGCGGCGACCUGGGCCAAUAUUGACGCUGAGGUGCGAAAGCGUGGGGAGCAAACAGG
rnacentral:rRNA from 1 species